CAACUGCGUUCCAGGCCUGGUGCCAGAUCCCCGGAAUGUGAGUGGCCCUGAGUCUCGCUGCCAGCUGCCAGGUGACCCGCCGUGCCCGGGUGUGGCAGCAAGGGCAGCUCUCGGCCAGACCCCUGAGCACUCCCAGGUGAACCCCAAGCUGAGCAGAAAGGAAGAGGGGGCUGUGUUUGAGAUCGGCAUCCACUCCAGCCUCCUUCCCGAUGGAAGAAUCCCCUGGGCAUCGCCACAGGCAAACCCGGCCCACAGGUCCAUGGGAAGGAACAAUUUACACUCCUGACAGUGGUCAGAGCUAACUGCUGUCAAAGCCUCCUACCCAUCCAAAGGAAACAGUAAAGAACCCUGGGGUGCCAGUUCCUACAUAGGCAGCAUGAGAGGGCACAGAGCUGUUUACAGGCCAUAACAGAGCCAAGACUUUGCUUCAGUUCACAAGUAGCUACUAAGCUGGGCACAGUGGUACGUACACACCUGUGAUUACAGCACUUGGGAGGCUGAGGCAGGAGGAUCACUGUGAGUUUGAGGCCAGCCUGAGCUACAUGGCGAGACCCUGUCUCAAAAAACCAAAAAAAUAAUUGAAUAAACAACCCUAACAAAGAACACCCAAGUAGCUGCAGAAGCAGAACAAACAGAAGCAAGCUUGAGUGAAAUACGUGGCUCCAUCACGUUGGCCCAUGCAGGCCUGUCUGGGCGCCCAGCGGCAGAUGACAGCCCCAGGGAUGUUGGUGCCUGGACCUGAGCACGGAACCCAGGAAGCGACUUCUGGUGGACGAAGCCUGCUGUCUUCAGGCUGACAGAGCUGCAGUGGUUGCAGCUGGCUUGGCCACCCGCAUGGAGCACUCAGAGCAGAGAAUUGCAGUGGCCUUUGGGAGGCGCUACAGAGGCUGCGG
rnacentral:lncRNA from 1 species